rnacentral:misc_RNA from 1 species
GAUGAGAACGCAGCGAAAUGCGAUAAGUAAUGUGAAUUGCAGAAUUCAGUGAAUCAUCGAAUCUUUGAACGCACAUUGCGCCCGCCAGUAUUCUGGCGGGCAUGCCUGUCUGAGCGUCAUUUCAACCCUCAUGCCCCUAGGGCGUGGUGUUGGGGAUCGGCCAAAGCCCGCGAGGGACGGCCGGCCCCUAAAUCUAGUGGCGGACCCGUCGUGGCCUCCUCUGCGAAGUAGUGAUAUUCCGCAUCGGAGAGCGACGAGCCCCUGCCGUUAAACCCCCAACUUUCCAAGGUUGACCUCAGAUCAGGUAGGAACACCCGCUGAACUUAAGCAUAUCAAUAAGCGGAGGA